rnacentral:rRNA from 1 species
GCGAGUCGACACAGCAAUGUGUGGCAUACGGCUCAGUAACACGUAGUCAACAUGCCCAGGGGACGUGGAUAACCUCGGGAAACUGAGGAUAAACCGCGAUAGGUCACUACUUCUGGAAUGGGUAAUGACCCAAACCUAUAUGGCCCCUGGAUUGGACUGCGGCCGAUCAGGCUGUUGGUGAGGUAAUGGCCCACCAAACCUGUAACCGGUACGGGCUCUGAGAGGAGGAGCCCGGAGAUGGGCGCUGAGACAAGGGCCCAGGCCCUAUGGGGCGCAGCAGGCGCGAAACCUCUGCAAUAGGCGAAAGCUUGACAGGGUUACUCUGAGUGAUUUCCGUUAAGGAGAUCUUUUGGCACCUCUAAAAAUGGUGCAGAAUAAGGGGUGGGCAAGUCUGGUGUCAGCCGCCGCGGUAAUACCAGCACCCCGAGUGGUCGGGACGUUUAUUGGGCCUAAAGCAUCCGUAGCCGGUUCUACAAGUCUUCCGUUAAAUCCACCUGCUCGACAGAUGGGCUGCGGAAGAUACUAUGGAGCUAGGAGGCGGGAGAGGCAAGCGGUACUCGAUGGGUAGGGGUAAAAUCCGUUGAUCCAUUGAAGACCACCAGUGGCGAAGGCGGCUUGCCAGAACGCGCUCGACGGUGAGGGAUGAAAGCUGGGGGAGCAAACCGGAUUAGAUACCCGGGUAGUCCCAGCUGUAAACGAUGCAGACUCGGUGAUGAGUUGGCUUUAUGCCAACUCAGUGCCGCAGGGAAGCCGUUAAGUUUGCCGCCUGGGGAGUACGGUCGCAAGACUGAAACUUAAAGGAAUUGGCGGGGGAGCACCACAAGGGGUGAAGCCUGCGGUUCAAUUGGAGUCAACGCCGGG